rnacentral:rRNA from 1 species
GAUGAACGCUGGCGGCAUGCCUAAUACAUGCAAGUCGAGCGAACGGACGAGAAGCUUGCUUCUCUGAUGUUAGCGGCGGACGGGUGGGUAACACGUGGAUAACCUACCUAUAAUACUGGGAUAACUUCGGGAAACCGGAGCUAAUACCAGAUAAUAUUUUGAACCGCAUGGUUCAAAAGUGAAAGACGGUCUUGCUGUCACUUAUAGAUGGAUCCGCGUUGCAUUAGCUAGUUGGUAAGGUACCGGCCUACCAAGGCAACGAUGCAUAGCCGACCUGAGAGGAUGGUCAGCCACACUGGAACUGAGACACGGUCCAGACUCCUACGGGAGGCAGCAGUGGGGAAUAUUGGACAAUGGGCGCAAGCCUGAUCCAGCCAUACCGCGUGGGUGAAGAAGGCCUUCGGGUUGUAAAGCCCUUUUGUUGGGAAAGAAAAGCAGCGGGUUAAUACCCCGCUGUUCUGACGGUACCCAAAGAAUAAGCACCGGCUAACUUCGUG